GUAUAAGCCUCUAGGGUUUGUCAGAUGACUUAUUCCAUAGCAAUUUUGGCAUUCUGUCCACCUCCAUUAAUUAAUCACUUCUCCAUCUCUUAGUUCAUAUAUAUUGGAGGUGGCCAGUAAGCCAAACGGGCUCUGCGAAUCUGUCUCCGACAAACCUCCUUAAGGGCUCUCCAAUUAUUUCAUCUCUUCUUCCUUAUUCUAAGUUCAUCAUCCAGAUGUAAUUAGACUAAACCGAAACACCAUGCUCAAGAAUUUGCUUAUAUGUUUGAUACUAUGAAAUUGAGGAUUUGCCUAAAAGGUAUAAGGAAAGGAAAUGGGAUCCGAAAUCUGAUGGAAUGUCAUCUUCGCAUUCAGCUAUUUGUUCUUGCUACGAUGGUUGGAUUUCAUGAAGGAUUUGGGGGACCGCUUUUCGCUACUGCAUUGGUUCUAGCUAUCGUUGUAUGGUUUUUUUGUUCUAACCAUAAAAUUUGUAAACAUUUUGAUCUAUAUAUUUUGUUUUCUAUGUGUUUGAUUUAAUACUUGAACUAUUUCCACAAUGAAAUUUGGCAGGCAAGUUCGUUUAUGCUCAUGAUUGCUAAAUAAAUAUAUAGAAGUUAAUCUGAAAACGAUUAAUGAACUUGAUUUCUUAUGCAGGAUGCCUAACCAAAAUUUUUGAAAAUGGGAAGCAACUUAAUUAUUGGGAGAAAGGAAAUUAAUGGUAAGAUUGAAAACAAGUUAAUCAAAAAAUGGUUAAUGAGUUUGAUUUCUUAUGCAGAAUUCCUAACCAAAAUAUUUGAAAAUGGGGAGCAACUUAAUUAUUAGGAGAAAGGAAAUUAAUGGUAGGAUUGAAAGCAAUUAUUUGAGGAUGAAAAACAUAUCUUAUGUUGAUUGAAAUAUGAUACAAUACAGCUUGGCUUU